rnacentral:rRNA from 1 species
GAUGAACGCUGGCGGCGUGCUUAACACAUGCAAGUCGAGCGGUAAGGCCCUUUCGGGGGUACACGAGCGGCGAACGGGUGAGUAACACGUGGGUGACCUGCCCUCAGCUCUGGGAUAAGCCCGGGAAACUGGGUCUAAUACCGGAUAUGACUCCAUGACGCAUGUUGUGGGGUGGAAAGCCUUGUGCGGCUGAGGAUGGGCCCGCGGCCUAUCAGCUUGUUGGUGGGGUGAUGGCCUACCAAGGCGACGACGGGUAGCCGGCCUGAGAGGGCGACCGGCCACACUGGGACUGAGACACGGCCCAGACUCCUACGGGAGGCAGCAGUGGGGGAUCUUGCGCAAUGGGCGAAAGCCUGACGCAGCGACGCCGCGU